rnacentral:lncRNA from 1 species
GGGGGGGGUCUAGGAUGAAAAAUUUUGUCCUGCAUUUUUUUUUAGCUGUAAUCUCUGUCCUGCCUUUUUAUUUUUCAGUCUGUUCGGUCCUGCCUUUUUUUUUUUAGUUUAUCCUGACUUUUUUUUACCUAAAUUGUCGUCCUAACUUUUUUUUUUUGCAAGUGUCUCAUCCUGCCUUUUUUUUUACUCAAAACUCCUGUCCUGUCUAUUUUUUUCAAAUUCAUCCUAGCCCCCCCCCCCCCCCCCAUAAAAAUCAAAUGGUAGCUCCCUAACAUAA